rfam:Turneriella parva DSM 21527, complete genome.
AGGGCAGUAGUUCAACGGUAGAACGACGGUCUCCAAAACCGUUAAUGAGGGUUCGAUUCCUUCCUGCCCUG